rnacentral:rRNA from 1 species
CAGUCGCCACGGGAAUACGUAGGGUGCAAGCGUUAAUCGGAAUUACUGGGCGUAAAGCGUGCGCAGGCGGUUUUGUAAGUCUGUCGUGAAAUCCCCGGGCUCAACCUGGGAAUGGCGAUGGAGACUGCAAGGCUAGAAUCUGGCAGAGGGGGGUAGAAUUCCACGUGUAGCAGUGAAAUGCGUAGAUAUGUGGAGGAACACCGAUGGCGAAGGCAGCCCCCUGGGCUAAGAUUGACGCUCAUGCACGAAAGCGUGGGGAGCAAACAGGAUUAGAUACCCCCGUAGUCCCUGUCUCUUAUAC